AAGGUGCAGGUCAGGUGCAGGUGAGAUCUUACCUGAGCCCACGAUCAGGGUCUUGGCCCCGCAGCAGGUGAAGCAGUGCAGCAGAGACUUGGACUUGAUGUUGGUGUUGAGGAAAGCCACCGAGCAGCCCACCUUGGCCAGCCCGAACCAUGCGCACAGAAAGUCUGGCUCGUUGCUCAUGAGCAGAGCGACACACUCUCCUCUCUGCAGCUUCAGCUCCUCCAGGAACACCUGCGCGAACCUGUUACUGCGCCGGUCGAUGUCCCGGUACGUGUGCUCGGUCCCCUCGUAGACCACGAACGGCUUGUCCGGGAUCCGAUGCGCCUGCUGGAUGAACCGGUCCAGCACCGUGAACACGCGGGAGGUCAGUUUGUAGGACUCGAUCUUCACUCCGUACCGGAUCACCUUCAGCAGGAAGAGCAGGUCCCUCCAGAAGUACGGGAAGCAGAGUCUCUGUAGGACGUGGGCCGAGAAAAACCCCGUGAACAGGGCGGAGAGCCAUCCCAGGGACAGCGUCAUGUCUGCGGCGAGGAGGAGCGGCACGGAUCAGUGCGGACACUGCGCCCUGUGUUACAUGUUCAGACCGGACUCGAUGACAGACCAUACCUGUGUUCUCCAAGCAUCCAGAAAAACCUGCUGCUCCUGCUCUCAGCUCCGAGGAGACGAUGAAGAGGAGGAUUACUUCAUCUCUGUGACACCUGAAAACACAGUUUUUACUUUAUUAGAAAGACAGAGAAGCUGAAAUCAUCCUUUAUUAACAGUUAAUUUCUCUUUAAGGAAUAAAGGUAUCCACUGCUCUUCAUAAAUCCCUCCUACAUGUAAACAUCACUCAGAAAACACAGGAUACUCUAUUCAGCCAUUCAUAUCAACCUUCAUCACACACCUGGAAGUUGCACCUUUUUGCUCGUGUAACUUGUGAUUUGAUUAUAUCCAUGCUUGAGUUCAUGAAUCAUCUGUGACUUGUGUGGAAGACAAAACCUGGAAACAGACCUUCAUUAAAGAGCGUGUAAAUCACCACA